rnacentral:rRNA from 1 species
AGAGUUUGAUCCUGGCUCAGGACGAACGCUGGCGGCGUGCUUAACACAUGCAAGUCGAACGGUGAACUCGGAGCUUGCUCCGGGGGAUCAGUGGCGAACGGGUGAGUAACACGUGAGUAACCUGCCCCAGACUCUGGAAUAAGCGCUGGAAACGGCGUCUAAUACCGGAUACGAGACGGAGAGGCAUCUCUACCGUCUGGAAAGUUUCUCGGUCUGGGAUGGACUCGCGGCCUAUCAGCUUGUUGGUGAGGUAACGGCUCACCAAGGCAACGACGGGUAGCCGGCCUGAGAGGGCGACCGGCCACACUGGGACUGAGACACGGCCCAGACUCCUACGGGAGGCAGCAGUGGGGAAUAUUGCACAAUGGGCGAAAGCCUGAUGCAGCGACGCCGCGUGAGGGAUGACGGCCUUCGGGUUGUAAACCUCUUUCAGCAGGGAAGAAGCGAAAGUGACGGUACCUGCAGAAGAAGCACCGGCUAACUACGUGCCAGCAGCCGCGGUAAUACGUAGGGUGCGAGCGUUGUCCGGAAUUAUUGGGCGUAAAGAGCUUGUAGGCGGUUUGUCGCGUCUGCUGUGAAAAUCCGGGACUCAACCCCGGACUUGCAAUGGGUACGGGCAGACUAGAGUGUGGUAGGGGAGACUGGAAUUCCUGGUGUAGCGGUGAAAUGCGCAGAUAUCAGGAGGAACACCGAUGGCGAAGGCAGGUCUCUGGGCCACUACUGACGCUGAGAAGCGAAAGCAUGGGGAGCGAACAGGAUUAGAUACCCUGGUAGUCCAUGCCGUAAACGUUGGGCGCUAGGUGUGGGACUCAUUCCACGAGUUCCGUGCCGCAGCUAACGCAUUAAGCGCCCCGCCUGGGGAGUACGGCCGCAAGGCUAAAACUCAAAUGAAUUGACGG